AAGAAACUUUUCAGUCAAUUUGCAGGAAGCUGGGGAGAAUCUGGCGUUAUCACUCGGGAGAAAGAGGCGCCAAGUGACUUAAGAUCUCUCUCAAUAUCUUAACGUUUAUUGUCUUUGUUUUCCUUUUACUUAAAAAAAGAGACAAACCCAGGACCUCACAUUCCGGUUGCAUUAAUAGUAUUGGUUUCUGGGUUUUUUUUUCCGCUCUCGGUUGGGAGUUGAUGCCCGGCUCCUGUUUGAUUCGUUCCACCUUUGAGGAAGUGAAUGUCGCGUACGGGAAGAGGAGGGUCUGUCUCUAUGUGUUUGUCUGUGUGUGUCUCCCUCUGUUUCUGUGCCGCGCACUUCUUCUGUAAUGUUAUUCAGUAAUAUUACUCCAUACAAUUGUAUCUUCACCACCUCUACCCAACUCUCAUCCUGUCUGUAUAGAAGCUGUGCCUUAAAUACCAGCUAUAAACAAUGGUUCCUUCAUAAUAAGACCCCUUUUUUACAUAAAGAAGGCAGUUGAUCAAACAUAAGUUGCUCCAAACGAGAACAGAGAGAGAGAGAAAGUCUGUAUUUACUGUUGGGACACUUCCUGAACUUUUGUUCCGUGUUUUGCCUCCCUCCCUACCUCCCCCUCUCUGUCUGGUGCUCUGAACCCUGUAGCUAUGAUCAAUUUUGCUUUGGCAGGGAGGCUGCUCUCGCUCAUUUGCCGGACUGCACGCUUCCAAACGCCGCCUCCGGUGCUGGCCGGUUCCUGCUCAGCCUGUCAGCUCUCGCAUGGUCUCAGCGGCCAGGAGGCCUCUCGGCUCUUACCCGCGACAUGAAGGGAACUCGUCGGCGCAGCGCUGAACUCAAACUUCAGGGAGGGCUUCAGUCCGCAGUCCAAUCUGCCCCCAGGAGACGGCGAAUUACUGGCCCGGAAUCGCCCUGGAUUAAAUACGGGUGACUGAUCCAUCAAACUGAAAUGUUCCGACUGGGUUAAAAAAGAAAACGGCGACAGAAAGACCGGUUAAUACGAGGGACGCGACGAAUCAGUCUUCUCGAAAGAAGUAUGAAUGAAGAAGGCCAUUCAAUCUCUUCAUCAUGGUUUUAAUUGGAACAUGAUUGAUCUAUCCCUCAACUCCAUCAACGUGCUUUCAGCAGUGAGAUCAUCCUACAAACCACCUUUCCAACUUAGCCCAGUCUCAUGUUAUCAGUCUCAUGAAUCUGCCCUGCUUCAACUCGAAGAUCAUUGUAUCCUUCCCGAGAUGCUAUGCUGAGAACUGAAAGAAAUCACUCCAGGUAGAAUGCUGCACUGUGUGAAGUGCUGAUUCUCAGAUGAGGCAUUAAAGCAGCACCCUGAAUGUCCUGUCAGCUGGGCAUAAAACAUCAAAUCACUCUAUUGUGAGCAAGAGCAGAGAAGCUCCUCCCAGUGUCUUGACCAAUACUUACUCCUCAACCAACAUUAUUAAAACGGAUUGGAGACCUUGGAUCUGCUGUUGCUGAUUAAACCAGCAUUUGUCAUCCAUCACUAAUUGCCCUGGAGAAUGUUAUGGAGAACAUUCAUUUCUUGAAAUGCUUCAGACCAUGACGUGUAGGUACUCCCAUAGUACCGUUAGGAAGGGAGUUCUAGAAUUUUCACCCAGCUGUAGUGAAGGAUUGAUGGUAUCUUUCCAAGUCAGGAUUGUGUGCGGCUUGCAGGGGAUCUUGCUGUUGAUGGCAUUUCCACACAUCUGUUGCCCUUGUCCUUCAAAGCAAUAGAGGUUGCAGAUUUGGAAGGUGCUGUCGAAGGAGCUACUGUAUGGUAACUUGAUGAGGUACUGUAGUACAUCUUGGAAGUGGUACACAUUGCUGCCACUUUGUGUCAAUGUGAAGGAUUGAAUGUUUAAAUAAGUGGAUGGAAUGCUGAUCAAGCUGGUUGCCUUGUACUGGAUCAUGUAAAGCUUCAUGAACGUUGUUGGAGGUGGUCUAAUCCAGGCAAAUGGAGAGUACUCCAGAAGGUGGUAGAGGCUGAGUCUUUAAAUAUAUUCAAAGCUGAGUUGGGGAGAUUUUUGAUGGGCAAGGGAGUGAAGGUUAAUGGCCUGCAAGUGGGAUAGUGGAGAUAAGACCAUACAAAGAUUAAUCUUGUUUUUAUCAAAUGGUGGAGCAGGAUUGAAGGGCCAAGUGGCCUAUUCCUGUCCUAUGUUCCCAUGAACGUUACAUUCCACUUGUCAGCCCAGAUCUGGAUGUUGUCCAGGUAUUGCUACAUACGGACACAAACUGCUUCAGUGUCAGUAUGAAUCCUUAUAUGUUUAAAUGUAUAAAUGUCCUUCUUUCUUGACCAAAGAGGCUACAUUUCCAGGCCUCAGGCUUCACGAUCAAAAGAAGAUUAAUUGAUCACCUCUGAUCUCACAUACAAAGCAAUGGAGAUGGUUUCCGUAUACACAUUAAAAUGCUGAAGAAGUGAGAGGAGACAUUGAUCAGUGACAUAUUGAUUCUGCACAAAUUAUUAGAGUGAAUAGCAAGCCAAGAUAUUUGUGCAAUAGCAAAAUAUUUUGAUGGAUAUGAACUUCUAAGAGCAAGACUCCUCCUACUUGAGCUCCAUAAUAUUACCUGACUCUGCCCCUGUCUCAACUUAUCUGUUUCUGAAACCUUAUCUGUGACUUUGUUACCUCAAGCCUUGACCUCUCUGACGCUUUUCUGGCUAGAUUCUUAGUGUACAUCAUUCCACAAACUCAAUUUCAUCCAAAUCAAUAUUGUCUGUAUCUUAUCAUGCACCAACUCACUUUCACUUAUUACCCGUGAGCAUCCAUGAUACACUUUGGUUCCAGGACUUGUAUCAGCUCAACUUUAAAAUCCUCAGCAUUCUUUACAACUUUCUAUAUGGCCUCGCACCCCCUCUAUUUCUUAAGGGAACCUUCAGCCCUACAAUGCUCCAUAGCUCUUUUCCAACUUGGACAGUUAAUUCUCUCCCGUGGACAGCUAUACUGGAAACUACCUGCUCUGAAGUAUCAUUCCAAAAAAGUUUCUGCAUCUCUACCUCUGUUUCUUUCAUAAAAGUGCCCCUUAAAACCUCUGACUUUGAAUAACUUUUUUUGUAAACUGCCCUAAUAUCCCUUUAAGUGGUUUAGUGUCAAAUUUUGUCUGGUAAUGCACUUGUAAGGUUUUCAUGGGACAUUUCUGCCCUACUAAGUUGUCCAUUUGCUGUGUUGAUGGGAUUGAAAAUACUUGAGCUUUUCUUUCUGCUGCCUUGCAGUUUGAUUUUAUUCUCCAACCUACAUGGCACCAAGACCUGCAUGUUAGAACGAUGAUCUCAUCUUGUUAGUCCAAGAAACAGAAUGGAGGCAAGCAGGUUUGUCCAAAAUUGUGAAACAAAUUGCCAUUUAACAUUCUGUUUUAAAUAAAGCACUGAGCCCCUC